CGAAACGUUGCUCACACCCCAGAAGUGCGGCUUAUAAUCGGUGCGGCUUGUAAUCGUGAAAUUACUGUACUUCUAGAGCCUCUGGUUAACUCUAGUCUCCAUUGUCAGCAUAAAAUGCUAUUAAGCCAGAGGCAGGAAAAGCUUUCUGUUUCUCCUGGACUUUUAUGAGUUUUCUUGAAUGUUUUCUGGGCCUCAUCUGCAGAAGUGAGGAUGUGCUUGAAUCUGUGAUGGGCUCAUCCAGGUCAGCUGUCACUAAGAAGAAAAGCUGUUUCUAAUUAACAUGGAUAUCCCUCAGAAACUUAUCAAAUCUAAAUUUUUCUGGCUAAAUAUGGAGCACAAAACUGCCAGCAAAUUGGAAGCAUCACAGGAGUGGUGCAAGAUAACAAUGAAGAGUAAAAUAUCUCAUGUGUUGGGCUGAUUUCUGAAAAUGAGUUUCAUCUGUCUAAUUCCUUCAAUCAUGAUUACCCACGUGAUAGAACGAUUGAGCAAGAUUUUCUUCUCAUUUUUAUUUUAACCGCAGAGACAUAGAUUUACUGCUAUGGCAAACUGCAAUUGUGUUCCAGAUCUGUUGUAUGUCAUAGAGGUUUGGAUACAUUUUUGUUAGAGAAAUUAACUGAGAUGUAAUCUAAAAACUUACUGCAUAGUCACUAAUUAUGAACAUUUUUGUUCUUGGUAGUUUGAGUGGCCAGCACUCCAGCUAGAUCUUCAAAUUCAUGGUUUUAGUUAAAAUUAAUAAAGUUACUUGUAAAUCUAGGUGCAACGCCUCUGAUACCUCAAAAUAUCAGUGGAUAUUUACCGUGCAAUGGCCUACAACAGAAGGAUUGAGAAAUCCAGGUUUUUACAGAAAACUAUUUUAAUUGCCUGUUACAUUGCAAAGAGAAUGUUACCGGAUAUUGUUGUAGAAUUAAUUAAUUAAUUUGCAAAACAAAAUGUUUGUUAUUUACACUACUGCAUGCCUCAAAAUAUUCACUAGUAUAACAUGCAACACCAUUAUUCUAUGAAUCCUUCAAUCUUAAGAGAAAUUAUUCUAUUCUCAUAUGCCUAAACAGAAAAAAUGUUGCAGACCACAUAAAAGGGAAAACAUAAUUUUAAUUUUAUAUUCGAUUAGUAGAACUUAUUCUCAUAAAUUUCAAGAAUACAUUUCAUUGUGUCUCUUAAAUACAUAAUGCAGUACGCUGCAUUUGUACUUUGAAAAAUAGAUGUGCUCUGCUUUAUUCAUUAAUUUUUCUUAACUGUUUUUGUGUGAUAUUUUUAAUGGAUGCAAACACAAUCCUAUCCUCCUUGUGGAACAAAGUAUUGAUAGGACAGUUCACUGAAAGUCUUACCUUUCAUUAUUGUGCAAGGUCUUAGAUUUAAUUGGGGAAAUUAACCAGAAGGUAAUAAAACAAAUAUGGGAAGUUUGCACUUUGCAUUACACAGGGAUGCCAAAUCAGGCAGUUUACAUUUAUUUGUGAACAUGUAUAUAGACCGUGUAAACCUGAGUGUGACAUACUGCAAAUAUAAGUUACAACUGUGUUACUACAUAUGAAAGGAGGGAAAAUUUUCACCCAAGAACUUUGGCUCGUGGAUGCGCACGUGUCUGCGCGUGUGCAUUGGUACAUGUGCCUCCCAGCUGCACAGACCAAUUUGGCACCUUGAAACACUGUUUUUUCAAAAUGGCUAAAAUUAUAAUGUGGCCGAAGAUCUGUGAAUGUCUUAAGCAUGUUUUUUCAGAAAAUAUUAAUAUUGAUGCAAACAUAGGAAUUUUCCCUGCUUAUGUAGAUGUUGGGCUUUUAUCAGCCACAGAUAGAAUGACCAAGGUUUACCACCUUCUGCUCCCUGUUCACAAAGGUUCUAUGCCCAGAGACCUCCAUACAGUCACCAGAAAAGGUCCUCCAAAAACGUUUACAGUAAUUUCAUUAUUAUAAGCCGCACCUGAUUAUAAGCUGCACUUCCGGGUGUUGGCAACGUUUCAUUCUUAGUCCGUAUAUAAACCACACCAGAUUAUAAGCCGCAUUUUCGUUUGCAACGAGGUUGCUUGCGCAACAAAGUAACCAAUUUGUAACAAUCAGGCAAUCACGGGUUUUACUGGCAGGUGCUCAAUUUGUGAGCUCCGCUCCCCCUAUGCUGCCAGUGGGAGAGGGCCCCCAGCCCGCUGCCGGCAGGAUCCCACCUCCCCCUGCCACGCAACAGAGUAACCAAUUUGUAACAAUUGCGCAAUUGUGGGUUUUACUGUCAGGUACUCAAUUUGCGAGCUCGGCUUGGCCUGCGGCUCGCACUUCCGGGUUGGGAAAUUUCAGAACAUCGUCCAUGUAUUGGCCGCUCUGGAGUAUAAGCCGCACUUCCAGGUUGGGACCAAAAUUUUAGUCAAAAUGGUGCGACUUAUAACUGUGAAAUUACUGUAAUGCCUUAUCGACAUAAGGCCAAAAUGACUAUCAGGGCAUGGCUUGUGGACAAUCCAUAUCAUCGCAUAUAUACUCAUUGAAUAAAACAUAAUAGGAAAACACUAAGGCUGUGUCUCCGUGUGCUCUCAGUGCAUUUUUUUUUUUUUCCUGUUAACAUUCACUAAGUCUUGUAGCAGCAGUCUGGAGACUGGUGUUUGUCCUCUGUUCUCACUCUUCAGACUAAGCUAAGUUUCAGGAGUUGUUCAGCAAAUCUGACAAUUCGGAAGCCACAUUUCAGUGGAUAUGCCCUGCUCCUGAAAAGCCACUAAACAGAUGAUAGAAGAUAUUGACAUCAGAGUUACUGGGAGAGCCUUUUGGAGGGCAGCACUGGUUAAAACUGUAAUGUAUUACAGUAAAUUCACGAAUACAAGCCGCACGGAAUA